rnacentral:misc_RNA from 1 species
GGAAGGAUCAUUCCUAAAUGGCCUAAAACCUAAAACGUUGAACCGACGAGAGCUUGAGAAAUCGAGUAAUUGUCAAACCCUUUAUCCCAUAAAACAUGAAACUAAACUUUAAACUGGACAACUAUAAGCGGUGGAUACCUCGGUUACCAUUACGAUGAAGAACGCAGUGAAACGCGAUAUUAAUUGCGAUUUGCAGAAUUCAGUGAAUCAUCGUAACUUUGAACGCAAGUGGCGCUCUGGGGAAUUCUUCAGAGCAUGCCUCUUUCAGUGUCGUAGCCAACCAAUACAUGAUUGUGUGUGAAAUUGGAUGCAGCUUCUGUUGUCAUCUCAAAUUCUUGUCGAGGAAAGAUUUGUUACGGGGAUGCCAAGUCUAACGCAUAUGGCCUCGUGCUGUAUAAACUGAGUUGCUUGUGUAUUCAUAUGCUGUAAUCUCUGCGUUAUGCCUUCAUCGUUGAAAGAAAUCUGGAGUCGUCUUGUUAAGCAUAAUCUGUGCAAGACAAAUUUACGGUAAGAUCUGAAAUGAGGUAAGACUACCCGCUGAGUUUAAGCAUAUUCGUAAGCGGAGGAAAAGAAACUAACUAGGAUUCCCUUAGUAACUGCGAGUGAAACGGGAUCAGCUCAAACUUGAAAUCUUUGUUGGUCUCCUUCAAAGAAUUGUAGUCUAAAGAAGCAUGUUCAGUGCAGGCCUGGGUUUAAGUUUGUUGGAAUACAUCUGUCAUAGAGGGUGAGAACCCCGUCUAAAACCCGGAGUCCGGUACAUACGAACUGUUCUCUAAGAGUCGGGUUGCUUGGGAAUGCAGCCUUAAAUGGGUGGUAAAUUCCAUCUAAAGCUAAAUACAAAUGGUAAACCGAUAGCGCACAAGUACCGUAAGGGAAAGGUGAAAAGGACUUUGAAAAGAGAGUCAAAAGUACUUGAAACCGCUUGUAGGUAAGGGAUGAGAACUAUUAAAUCGGGUCGCCACAUUUUCUGUGUCGCUAGUAAGUUGAGAUUGCUCGAGUCUUUUUCGGAAGUUUGCAGUGGUCAAUAUGAGCUAGUGUAACUGUGUAUGUGAGCGCGAGUGUGUCAGAAUGGGUUUGGUUUGUGGGAAAAGGUUCAAGAAGAGGUAGGUGUGAUUGCAAUGUACUUUGCAAGUCCCUGAACAUUCUUGUUCUUCAGUACCUCGGACUAGACCGAGGAACGAUUCUGACUAAAUGGUUCUUAUUCACCCGUCUUGAAACACGGACCAAGGAGUCGAACCUGUAUGCGAGUAUUAGGGUGUAGAAACCCGAAUGCGUAAUGAAAGUGAAGCUGAGCUCCGGCUCAGUUAGGAGUGACUCCUGCAAAGGAUGCAACUUCGCCCGGCUCUUCCCUAGUGUUGGGUACGAGGUCGAGCAUACAUGUCCGGACCCGAAAGAUGGUGAACUAUACCUGAGCAGGGUGAAGCCAGGGGAAACUCUGGUGGAAGCUCGUAGCGAUACUGACGUGCAAAUCGUUCGUCGGACUUGGGUAUAGGGGCGAAAGACCAAUCGAACCAUCUAGUAGCUGGUUCCCUC